rnacentral:rRNA from 1 species
GUCUACAGCCACACCACCCUGAACACGCCUGAUCUCAUCUGAUCUUGGAAGCUAAGCAGGGUCAGGCCUGGUUAGUAGUUGGAUGGGAGGCUGCCUGGGCAUACCGGGUGCUGUAGGCU